rnacentral:rRNA from 1 species
AGCUCCAAUAGCGUAUAUUAAAGUUGUUGCAGUUAAAAAGCUCGUAGUUGGAUUUCUGGUGGGAGGGAUCGGUCCUGCAUUCAAUGUAGGAACUUGUAUCCUCUCCGGCCAUCCUUGGGUGGAUCUUGUCUGGCAUUAAGUUGUCAGUCAGGGGAUGCCCAUCGUUUACUGUGAAAAAAUUAGAGUGUUCAAAGCAGGCUUAUGCCAUUGAAUAUAUUAGCAUGGAAUAAUAAGAUAGGGCCCUGGUACUAUUUUGUUGGUUUGCGUACCGAGGUAAUGAUUAAUAGGGACAGUUGGGGGUAUUUGUAUUCAGUAUUCAGUGGUGAAAUACUUAGACCUACGGAAGACAAACUACUGCGAAAGCAUUUACCAAGGAUGUUUUCAUUAAUCAAGAACGAAA